rnacentral:rRNA from 1 species
CCAGACUCCUACGGGAGGCAGCAGUAGGGAAUCUUCGGCAAUGGGGGCAACCCUGACCGAGCAACGCCGCGUGAGUGAAGAAGGUUUUCGGAUCGUAAAGCUCUGUUGUAAGUCAAGAACGAGUGUGAGAGUGGAAAGUUCACACUGUGACGGUAGCUUACCAGAAAGGGACGGCUAACUACGUGCCAGCAGCCGCGGUAAUACGUAGGUCCCGAGCGUUGUCCGGAUUUAUUGGGCGUAAAGCGAGCGCAGGCGGUUUGAUAAGUCUGAAGUUAAAGGCUGUGGCUCAACCAUAGUUCGCUUUGGAAACUGUCAAACUUGAGUGCAGAAGGGGAGAGUGGAAUUCCAUGUGUAGCGGUGAAAUGCGUAGAUAUAUGGAGGAACACCGGUGGCGAAAGCGGCUCUCUGGUCUGUAACUGACGCUGAGGCUCGAAAACGUGGGGAGCGAACAGGAUUAGAUACCCUGGUAGUCCACGCCGUAAACGAUGAGUGCUAGGUGUUGGAUCCUUUCCGGGAUUCAGUGCCGCAGCUAACGCAUUAAGCACUCCGCCUGGGGAGUACGACCGCAAGGUUGAAACUCAAAGGAAUUGACGGGGCCCGCACAAG